UACGUAGGGUGCGAGCGUUUGUCCGGAAUUAUUGGGCGUAAAGAGCUUGUAGGCGGUUUGUCGCGUCUGCCGUGAAAUCCGGGGCUCAACCCCGGACUUGCGGUGGGUACGGGCAGACUAGAGUGUGGUAGGGGGAGACUGGAAUUCCUGGUGUAGCGGUGAAAUGCGCAGAUAUCAGGAGGAACACCGAUGGCGAAGGCAGGUCGUCUGGGCCACUACUGACGCUGAGAAGCGAAAGCGUGGGGAGCGAACAGG
rnacentral:rRNA from 1 species